UUUGUCUACAAUCCAAAUAUAGAAAUAUAUACGCGCGUAAUCAUUAUAAUUAUUAACUUUAUACAAGACACGAGGAGAAGAUAUUUCGACGAUGACGUCAAUUGAAAAAAUAUAUUAAAUGAAAGAGAAAGAAUAUAAAAAGAUAAGACGAGAGAUAACGUGAGGUGAUUGUUCAAAAACAAGGUAAGAAGUUUUAUAAUAUUAUCAAGAUAGGAGAACAAGUUACAAGAAAAUCUCAUAACAAGAUUCGUUUGUACAAGGUUACAUUAGAGCUAUGUUAUGUGAACCUUACGAAGUAAUACAAAUUAGAUGAAUAAGUUCCUGGGUUAUAUGGAAAAUGGGUUUAUAAGAUAUACCUAUGUUGAUAUUAUAGUUCAGAAUAAUAGGAAAGUUGAGAUUUCGUUCUGCGUGAAAAUUUGACGUGCUUUUAAAUAAAAACGUUCAUUAAUUAAAAGAUUAAUAUUAAAUGAUUUUAAGAUACAAACUUGAGGCUCUUGUAUAACACACUACUCUGAACAACAACAAGAAAAAUGAUUUUUAAUAUAAUACAAAGUAGAUGUAAAAUAUUAUAUUUAAUAUAAUGAGUAUAUCAAAUUAAAAAAUACUAUAUUUCUGUAUAAGUAAUAUAUACAUCUAAUUU